rnacentral:rRNA from 1 species
UACGUAGGGGGCAAGCGUUGUCCGGAAUCAUUGGGCGUAAAGAGCGCGUAGGCGGUCCGGUAAGUCAGCUGUGAAAGUCAAGGGCUCAACCCUUGAAAGCCGGUUGAUACUGUCGGGCUAGAGUCCGGAAGAGGCGAGUGGAAUUCCCGGUGUAGCGGUGAAACUGCGCAGAUAUCGGGAGGAACACCAAUGGCGAAGGCAGCUCGCUGGGACGGUACUGACGCUGAGGCGCGAAAGCGUGGGGAGCAACAGGAUUAGAUACCC